UAAGGCCGGUGCUUCUUGUAGUCUCGUUUUAUAGGUGAUGAAACUGAGGCUUACAGAGAGCAUGUGGCUGGCCUGAGCUUGCACAGCUGGGGAGUGGCUGAGCCAGGAUUUGAAGCAAGGCUGUGUGCUUCUGGCCAACUCACCCUUCUACCCCUUGCUGAAGGGAAUGAGUGAUGUCAUCUGCACUGUGGAGGUGUUGAGGGGAUGUGACUGAAUUGGGCACUGAGGACCACAAGGAAGCAAGGAGGCGUGAAGACAGAAGAGAGGUUCUUGUGCAUACGUUUGAACAGGGAA
rnacentral:lncRNA from 10 species